GCAAAACAUCCAUAAUGAAACCAGGAUUUUAUUUGGAAAUGCUUCUCUCUGUCAGCGAAUAAGCAACAUUACACUUCUUUGGAAAAUGCUAUUGAAUUGGAGAUGGGUACUCUUUUAAAGGAGUCCUGCUACAGGGUAGGAGAAACUUCUUGGAUUUCCCCGAAGAAGAUUAAGGGCAUAAAUUCUGGCUCUUCCUUUAGUGAGCAGCUCCAUUUCUUGCAUGAUGAUAAGGUAGCCAACCAAUUUGUCUCUGCUGAUUCUUGGACUAUCACCGGUCAUGAGAGCUAACCUGUGUUGGCAAGAUGCACGCUGUGUUUACAGAGCUAUCAUCACCCUGCCAAGACUGGAUUGGCAGCGGCAUCAUUUCCACUUCAAAUUAUCGGCUCUGGGGAGAAGAAAAUCCUGAACCCAGCUGAAGAGUCCUGAAGCUACCAUAAAUCUAUUCGGAUGAUUCAAAGAUAGAUUUCGAUAAGCUCAUUGUUUCUACGGAAAAUCAUUUAACGUUUCUGUAGGGGCUCACAGUUAACAUGUUGAUCUCACGUUACUACCUUAGUGAGCUCUGAGACAGCCAGGCCACCCAGCACGCUUGUCCUCGUUUUCUGGGAGAGGAAAGAGGGUCAGCGAGGGAACAACAGAUUUGCUGGUGAUAACACACUGACUCGUGGAGCGUGGAUACAAAUUUAGGUCUCAUCUCCUCGUGGAUUGUUGUUGCUUCAUCGACAAGUUUCAGGCGUGUCCAUUCAGGAUUCACUCGUUGACAUUAAUUCCUUAAAAAAGAAAAUUUAUUCUGGAUGACAUUGUGAAAGGCAUCAAAGGGAGAGAAAGCAUAAUAGAGUUCACGGUAGAGAGGGUGACAAGAGGCAACUCUAUGAAAAGGAGAUCCAAAUCUUCUCAUUUCCAGUUCCAGGAGGCUGGCUUCCCAGCAAGGUUUUAUUUAUUUAUUCAUGAGAGACAGAGAGAGGCAGAGACACAGGCAGAGGGAGAAGCAGGCUCCCUGCAGGGAGCCCGAUGUGGGACUCCAUCCAAGGACUCCAGGAUCACACCCUGAGCUGGAAGGCAGGCGCUUAACUGCUGAGCCAUCCAGACAGGUAAACUCUGUACGUCACAGUGAAUUGACCUCUACAGAUUGAGAGGCAUCUCUGGCCAAAGAUCCAGGAGAGGCAACUUCACUGGUCCAUCUGGGGUCGUGUGACCACCCAUGGCCAGAGGCACAGAGGCCCCCAGUUGGCCUGCCAAUGCCCACUCCAGAGAAAGCAGAUGUUCCUCUGAAGAGGGCUGGGAAAGGACUCAGAAUGUGUCUAGUGCAGUGCAACUUUCAUCAACACAUCCCCCAAGACUGCCUUCCAUUAAACAAGCAUUUAUCUGCAUUACAGGUAAAUACAGUUAUUUUCUGAUGCAUCUCUUCCCACUCCUUACUUCACAUUUUAUGCUCCAACAACAAAGAAUUGCUUGCAGCUCCAUCUCCCCAUCCCCUACUUACCACCCACAUUCCCCAACACAGUCAAUAAACGUCACACUUGUGUUCCUGUAGCCCUCUAUGCUCGUAAUGCAGUUCUUCUUGUUUUUUAGGAGUCAUGCCGGAUGUCACUGCUUCCAGCAGAGCUUCCAGUCCUCUUUUACUUCCUGGGCUGCUUAUCUCUUCUUUCUUUAUGCAUCAUAACAUUGUGCACGGAAAUCUCUAUCAUCUUCCCACUCCAUUGUCUGUGAUUUACUGUUUAGGUUCUGACAUCUUUAUAACCCCAGACGGAGCCUGGCCUAUAGUGGGCGCUUCGAGACAGUUGAAUGAAAAGUUUUCUUUUAGCUAAUAAUUGACUCUCUAGAGUCAAAAAAAAAAAAGAGUGCAUCAUUACGUGAGAAGUAUUGUCUGCAUGCACCCCUGAGAACUGUUAACUUGCCAAAGAAUUAGAUGUCAGGAAGUUCUAAUCAAAG